UAGGGACAUAGUAACAAUCUUUCAAUUCCGAAACUUUAUCCGAAGGCAACUUCAAUAGCUUGGUUCCUACAGCUUUGGCGUGGAUGGACUCUCCAUUAGCGUCGAACAAUACAUAGUCACCUUCACUCAAACUCUUUAUUCCCUGCAGAUCCUGCAAUGAUUUGCAAAGGUGUGAAUCAUAGACAGUAUCUAAUACCUA
rnacentral:lncRNA from 1 species